rnacentral:rRNA from 1 species
CCACGCAGUAAACGAUGAUAGCUCGUUGUCGGCGAUACACAGUCGGUGACUUAGAGAAAUCGAUAAGCUAUCCACCUGGGGAGUACGUUCGCAAGAAUGAAACUCAAAGGAAUUGACGGGGGCCCGCACAAGCGGAGGAACAUGUGGUUUAAUUCGAUGAUACGCGAGGAACCUUACCCGGGCUUGAAAGUUAUUGACUAUUCUGGAAACAGGAUAUCCCUUCGGGGCAAGAAACUAGGUGCUGCAUGGUUGUCGUCAGCUCGUGCCGUGAGGUGUCGGGUUAAGUCCCAUAACGAGCGCAACCCCUGCUGAUAGUUGCCAUCAGGUCGAGCUGGGCACUCUAUCGGGACUGCCUCUGUAAGGAGGAGGAGGGUGGGGAUGACGUCAAAUCAGCACGGCCCUUACGUCCGGGGCGACACACGUGUUACAAUGGUAGGUACAGAGGGCAGCCACCCAGUGAUGGGGAGCAAAUCUCGAAAGCCUAUCUCAGUUCGGAUUGGAGGCUGAAACUCGCCUCCAUGAAGUUGGAUUCGCUAGUAAUCGCGCAUCAG